rnacentral:rRNA from 1 species
AUUGAACGCUGGCGGCAGGCCUAACACAUGCAAGUCGAGCGAGCGGCGGACGGGUGAGUAAUGUCUGGGAAACUGCCUGAUGGAGGGGGAUAACUACUGGAAACGGUAGCUAAUACCGCAUACCAUCAGAUGUGCCCAGAUGGGAUUAGCUAGUAGGUGGGGUAACGGCUCACCUAGGCGACGAUCCCUAGCUGGUCUGAGAGGAUGACCAGACACACGGGGAAUCAGACACGGUCCAGACACAUACGCGAGGCAGCAGUGGGGAAUAUUGCACAAUGGGGGCAAGACCGAGACAGCCAUGCCGCGUGUGUGAAGAAGGCCUUCGGGUUGUAAAGCACUUUCAGCGGGGAGGCGUUACCCGCAGAAGAAGCACCGGCUAACUCCGUGCCAGCAGCCGCGGUAAUUC